rnacentral:lncRNA from 1 species
CCAUGUCUCCCAAUCCCAUGAGUUCAUCACAAGAAUGAUAAAGAAGAUCACCCAUCCUGCUUGCAUGUAAGUUGUUCCCCGUCUCUCCCAGUCGCACGAGUUGCUCUUGGCAGCCCAUCCAAAGACCAUGCAUGCUUUUUCUCUCCUUCCCUUCCACUAUGAAAGAACAACAGGUGGUGCUACUAUCAUGUUGCUCUAUGCUACUCCAUCCACAUUUUAUAGCACUAGAUGACCCGGUUGCGCCAAUGGCGCAAGGAGCCAGUUAGAAGCAAUGUUAGUAGGAGAUGUAGCUGAAAAUAUAAUGCAAUGUGGAUUGUAUUACAGAUAGUAGAAUAACUACUUAUAUCGGUUUACAGAAACACUUAUAUAUAUGCAGCCUCACAGCUUAUUUAGGCAUCUUAGUCUGAUUGUGGUCUUUAGAGGGUGUGAACGCACCAAUAAGAAGUGUGUCAUUGUCGCAUAAUGUUGCUUACUACACUUCCACGUGCACUUGAAGGUCUGUGAAAGGUAACAUAUUGUCAAACACGGAUCACCGAGAUAGCAAAAUCAUCAGAACGAAAACAAUAAGAGCAACAAAAACAUGCACCGAUCGGCAUAAUUAUUUGAUUCACAUCUUUGACACAACCCUGCCUUUGAACUGCACAUCUGUGCCACAUACGACUGAAAGCAAAACAACAAAACAGAGAAAAAAGUGGACAAAUAUUGUACUCCCUCCGUCCCAAAAUAAGUGUCACUGAUUUAGGGCGUAUAAACCAGCUAAUGGGUUCUUAAACCAAGCCAGCCAACAAAGAUAUAUCUUGUGAUCAAGAUAUGCACAUACACAAGCUUUAAAGGUAAUGUGUCAUGAGUGUGUGACUACAAUGAUUUUUAAGGCGGUAAGGCGAUCUAAGGUGAGCACCCACCGCUCUAAGGCCUUAAGUGCCUAAGGUAGACGUCUAAGCUCCUAAAGCGGGCAUAAUUGCAAGGCACUGUUAGCGCGCCUUGCCGCCCACCUUAUGAACACCGUUGACUACCAAUCCUCACAUAGUCAUUUGGAUGAGAGAAAAUGGUAUAUUAGAAAAAUGCAUGCAACAAUUAGAAGACAAUGAAAAGCUCAAAAAAUAGAUACAGCAAAUUCAUCGGAAUCACAUGGACACGUUGGAGGCAGGUAUGUGUCAAGUAUAUAGAGAAAUAAGAACAAAAAGGUCAGACUCUGCAGCUACUGUUCUAAAGCACGCUAAGCCAAACUCUGUAGCUAUGGUUCCAAUGGACGCUACGCUAAGACAAACUCUGUAGAUACAAUAGGUAAUGAAGAGUUUGCGUCCAAGUAAACAAGUAAUGGAAAAGGUAACCUUUCUUACUUCUAAGGAAAUAUUAACAAUCUGAUUCUACAAAAGAUUUAAACAUGCCUACAUACAGGAGGCGGCUACUGAGCCACAAAAUUCAGAUAGGUUAAUCAAAAUAUUUCUAUUUCUACUACUGAAAAUAGAUGAACUUGUACACGAACAAACAAACACAGUGAGUGUCUGUCAUCGCUGCAAUUUGUAUAUGAGGGAAAUAGCUCACCUCUCCAAAAAGAAAGUGUCUUCCUUUCAUCCUUAAAACUCUGCGAGCUGCAACCUACGCCUUGGCUGUCACAGGAGUAGCAGCAGUAGAACCACCACCUAAAAUACUUUCUUCAAAGCAUUUCAAAGUGCUUCAUACAACUCAUCAUUGGGUAGCAACACUGGACUGGUGUAUGAAACAUCACCACCAAAACAUUUGUAACUAAGCCAUAGUUUGGGAAUCAAUCAAAGUAGCCUGCUAUAAAGGCUUCCCAUUGUGAAUAUCAUUGCUAGUAAGUAAUCGACUCAACCAGAAGAACUUUGGGAGCAUCUGGUUCCUGCAUGAAGGGAUUCCAAUCAAUUAUGAGAUAGAAAUUGUGCCAAAUUUGAAAACACUGAUAACAACUGAACAAGCAAAGUCAAAUACAAAAUUAACUAAUUGGUGAUUUAUCAUCACAACGAGUGUUUGCUAAUCAGUCCACGUGUAGCUGUCCAAGUUUUUCUCCGAAUAGUGUAAAAUUGUGACGAAGCAAAUGGACACAUAAUCAGUACAUGUAAAAGCUAAAAGAAGCAAAAGAUAUUCAUAAACACAGUGCUAGAUGAACUAAAAGGACCUUAAAUACAACUACAAAGAAACAUCAUGGCAAGUGCAGUUUGCCGUUGGAAAAUCUUUUAGAUGCAUGAUGCUUCGGCAGAUGAAAAGCAUAUAUGACGCAUUACUGUCAACUCAAUCAUUCUGCUCUAGUUAAAAGUAUAAUGGUCACAUAUAUCUACUUUCUGAUAAUCACAAAUGUGCAAAUUUGGAGUAAAAUCAAAAUAGAACUACUCCCUCCGUUCCAAAAUAGAUGACCCAACUUUAUACUAACUUUGUACUAAAGUUUGUAUAAAGUUGGGUCAUCUAUUUUGGAACGGAUGGAGUAUAUGGAAAUGGCUGUAUUUUAGGAGUUCAUGUAUGGAAAUAGCGUAGAAAAUAUAAGCAAAGAUAAAUAUACACCUUCCUUGUCUCCCGAACCUGCAUAGUUCACACAAUAGCCCAUUAACUUUGGUAUGUUAAACCAUCAUGUUGCACGUCUAUGGCAUGGAGUAAAAUCUUGUACCUGCAAGAAUGGUCCACUCGUUAUCAAGAUUAUGCGUUUAUUUCAUGCUUUUAUAAUAGAAUUACCUGGGAAGCGGCUUAGGAGUGGAACACAUGGGGCAUCUAUAUAAAUCAUUUUCCUUUCUUAACUUCUUCCAACCUUUUUUGCAGCUAAUAUACCACAAGUCUUCACCUGAGACCACUUCAGUGGCCUAGAGUCAAGAACUAUCACCCAACUCGGUAACUGUUCAUGGACUAAAACAAAAUACACUAUAUGCAUAAGUCCGGUUCCUUAUUUCAGCACUAAUCAAACAGAAGAACAUCUACUGAACUUCCUACUAUCCAUACAUGAAUAUAGCUACUUCUUGCGAAACAAAAAUGAAUCAACGGACUGCUCUAUAUUUGGGAAGCAACCAAAUCUAAAAAGUAUCUAUGAACAGAUCACAAACACAUAGUUUCAGUAUUGAAACAAGUACCAGAAGAACUCUAGUUCUCUAGAUUGAGGUAUACUUGGAGGUGCAUCUGAAACUCGCCGGCUUACAGUGUAGCUCAAGGCAAAUCGAAAUGUACACGUGUUGUUUUUAUAGCACUCAGAAUCAGACAAGAUAAUCUCAUACUACACGCAGACUGCUGUAUUACUCACUCUCCGACCAACAUCUCCAGGAAAUCUCAGUGUAUUUGAGAAACCACUCUCUUCUUUCAAACUGGACAUAGAGAAACAGGACUGCUUCCUUUCUAAAUCUUAGACCAUUCCUAAUCAAAAUCGUAAAUAAUUUCCUAACCAAAUCCCUAAAGCAUGAAUCUACCAUUGAAUUCAGCCUACACAAGCCCCACACACGCGCGCGCACAGAGAGAGAGAGAUGGGAGGUGCAGAGAAGGCUGUGGAGGAUGGAGUUGAUCUCACCUGAGAGGACCGGCAGCCAGCUCAAAGGUCCACUUCUCGCCGCCAUCCCGGCGUUCCCAUCACAACCCUCACCCUGUUGCCGUGCGCGACGAAGAGGGAUGCAGAUUGAGGAGGCGGAGCUCAGUCGGCGGCUGCAUGUGAUGAAGGGGACGGAGGCAGCAGCGCUCGGACCACCACCGAUGCAGCCCUCUUCUGCCACUUUGCGCGUGUGUCUCUCCCGCUUCAGAUCUGGACCUUAGGGAGGAAGAAUAGACGGCGUGGUGGCGCGGGGAGAGAAGNN